CGGAGCUCCGCCCCCCGGUUGGUGCUCGCUGGCCGGUUGGCAGGCGCGGGGCUGUCAGGAGCUGCUGAGCGUGGAUCGCUGCCUCCUUGCUUCCCUCCGGCCGUGAGGAGAGACUGCGGCGGCCAUGAAGAUCUGGAGCUCGGAGCAUGUGUUCGGACACCCCUGGGAUACAGUGAUCAAAGCUGCUAUGAGAAAGUACCCCAACCCAAUGAAUCCAUGUGUGGUAGGAGUGGAUGUCCUUGACAGAACCCUUGAUAACCAGGGGAGGUUGCAUAGCCACCGUCUCCUCAGCACAGAGUGGGGAUUGCCAAGUAUUGUAAAAGCGAUUUUAGGAACAAGUAGAACUCUGACUUACAUUGAGGAACAUUCUGUGGUAGAUCCAGUGGAAAAAAAGAUGGAGCUUUGCUCAACUAAUAUUACUCUCACAAACUUAGUGUCUGUUGAUGAGAGACUGGUUUACACGCCGCAUCCUGAAAACCCUGAAAAAACUGUGCUAACUCAAGAAGCAAUUAUUACUGUUAAAGGCAUUAGUUUGAGCAGUUAUCUGGAAAGCUUAAUGGCGAACACGAUAUCUUCCAAUGCCAGAAAGGGUCGGGAUGCCCUGGAAUGGGUGAUCAGCAAACUAAACACAGAAUUGGAGGAGCUGAAGUCAACACGUGAGGGCAUGAAACCAGCCAUGGCAGCAGCGUCAACAGAAAAAUGAAACCAAAAAUUCCAGGGAAGUGACAGAAGAGUCUUAUUCUCCAGACUGCUUCAUAGAUCUCCCUGCUAAGGCUGAUCUGCACAAGUUUUAUAUAUUUAUAAGAAUUUUGGAUCAGCGGAAAAGUAACCUCAUCUGUCAUCUCCACAGCAGCUCCUGUUGCCUACUGAAGAUUAAAUUGACCUCCUGCAGAUGCUCUUUUUAUUUAAACCAUUUAUUUUUAACACUGGAAACAAAACAUUUAGCACAUUUGAAACUGCCUAAAUGUGCCUUUUCUAACAAAGAUCAAAAAAACUUAGAGCUUAAAGGCUGACAGCAGCUCCUUUCCAGAAGAUACACCGGAUAGCUUUGGUGCAGGUCAGUUGCUGACUGCUUCCCAGAGGAGCAAUGCCACUUCCUGGAUAAGGAAUGCAGAAGAUGUUCUAGCUCCUGGUGGCGUUCAGCUGGGAAGGGAGUGCAGCUAUGGCCGAGCUCUACAAAUGAAAGGAAAAAAUGAGUAAGUGUCUGUGCAUGUGGAAACCUGUACUGCAGCAUUUCCAUACAGGCCUGCUGGAGAUGAGGAAAACAUAACUGUCAGGGGGUAGAAAAGUCUUUGGACAGGUUCAUGUACUGCUUUGCUUUGCAGGAAGGAUUGUCUAAAGCUGCUUCUUGCGUCAGGUUUGAAAUAGUUACUUAUUUUUGUCUUAAACCUGAUUUGUGUAUAGCACCUACCAGAACUAGCUGGUGUCCCAGGAAAGCCACCACAGGCUCCUAUGUUCUCUUCAGGGCCAAACUCCUCUGCUGCACUUUGGGUCAAUAUUAAUUAUCCAUCAGUUUUCUGGAUUACAUCCUUUGCACUUUGUUUCCUUCUUCCAGAAACAAAUCCUUACCUGUUUGUGUUGCAGCAUCUCUAGUCUGUUUCAUUCCCCAGUGAUUUUGGGCUGCUUCCACCCUGCAUUUUGUGCUUCUUGUGAACUCUAUGGCUUAGUGCUUGGGUGUCCAUUUUGUCUGCAGCUCACUUGCUAUGGAUCACUACCUUGCCUGCUUGUGCUCAGUCCUUUUCUGCUUUUCUCUAGGCUAAAUGGGAGUGGGGAAACUUUGGGUAGGAAAAAGACUGAUUUCCUCCAGAAGCCAGUUCCAUCACCCAGCUGCCUCUGCAUUGCUGGGCAGUGCUGCUGCUCUCACCUUGUCUUUGGGCUAGGUGACACUGCUGCACCUCCCAUGGCUGCUCAUUUUUCCAGUGUGUACAAAGGACCAGUGCUCACACUUGGGACCAAGCAGGCUCCAGUGUUUAGCAGGUGAAUUGCUUUUUAAUUUCCUGUUAGCUUUCACGUACACUUUUACUCUCCUGCUUUCUGCACAUCCAGUUUGGAUAUGGGGCACCCACCCUUCUUCCUUGACCACGUGGCUCUUCUGUAUGGGAUCUGAUAGGAUCUGUACCUGUAUGUUCAGCCCUACUGUGCAUAACCCUGUUUCUGAAGCACUCCAGUUCUGUCACUGUUACAGUCUGAGUUGACCCUUGGUGCAAAAAAACCCUACCUUUGUAAUUGCUUCUCUUGGUCCAUCCCUAGGGAAACUCCCUGGCUUUAUUUACUGGAAGUGGCUAAAAAAUAUUUCUGAAGUCAGUUUUGUGUCAUGUGCAUUGAUGGAGGUGUCUACCAAAGCCAGAAAGCUGCAUGUGAGGGGAAGUGCUAGGCUGCCUGUGGGACUGGGGGAAGGACCAAGGAGAAGGAAGCUCAGCACAUGUAGCCAUGCUCAUUAACAGGUGGCAAGUGCCAUUCUGAGUAAGAAUUUUGCACUUGGCAGGGUGAAAACAGGAUUAAUGAUUUGUGUGUUGGGGAGGGAGGAUGUUUGCUGCUGUUCAAGGCACUGAGGUUUGCAGUUCAGUGUUUCUUAGCCAUUAGGUUGCAAUUCAAGGGAAAGGGAGUGGGGGUUUGGGUGUAAUGAGGUUGGUUGGUUUGAAGGAGUUAGUGCCAGCAUAUUGGGUCUGCAGCUUGGUGAGAAGUGGGGCUGCUCACCCUCCCCAGUAACUGCAGCUGUGUUAUACAUGCCCGCUGUGGAAGGAUGAAGCUGGAGAAAGAUGAAGUUGGAAGGAUGACUGCUGGGAAACAGUGAGGGAGCAUGGCAGCAGUGGUUCCCAGAGCAUGGCAAAUGGGCCUGUUUGUGAUCAGUUGGCCCUGAAGGAUCUUAAAGCUGUUGAAGACGCCAGACCUGAGGUAAACUCUGGUUUCUGGUUAAUGUCUGGUUUUCAUGUUAGUGCAGACAGGCUCAUGUUAGCAACAGAAAGCAUUAACCUAGACCAGUGUAAUCAGAUGCUCUUGUGUGUAAUGGGUUUUGUGUAGAUUAUCCAUUUUCUUAUUUUCCUGUCUUGUCCUUGUGCCAGUGUCAGUCCUCCAUGCUUCCCCACCCUGCUUUCUUUCCCUCCCCCCAUCAGGUCAGCAGGCAUGCUGAGGGAAAAGUUGUAUUUGUUAGGAAAAGGGGCAAUCCUAGCGAAGUUGCGGUAUUCUGUAAAGACGCUUAACACAAUGGAAGGCACUGAACUGCAGCACAUAAGGUGUACCAGGAGUUGCUGUAUCUGGUGAUGUAAUAAAGGAGUUCUGAGAUGACCAGUGGCAUUCUGUGAUGUGACACUUUUCAUUUACAUCCUCAGGUGGAGCAGUGGGUAACACCGUUCCUAUUCUUGUAUCUUCCUAGAUUGUAAGCUGUGAAGGGCAGGACUCUGUAAAGUGUCUGUGUACACUAUGGUGCUAUCUUAAAUAAAUGACAUCCUCCACUCAAAAAAACA